ensembl:lncRNA
UGGAGGAUAAUGUCAUACAAAAAUAAAGACAACUUUAUAUAAUAAUCAUAAUGUGACAUAGAGGGAGUGUUUAACUGAAUGGAAAUCACCACUUUAAGAUGAGAAAUGUUGAGGUCUUGCAGUAUGAAUUUUGUUCUUGUCAGCAGAGAUUGACUGUGUUUGGAGAACGUAAUUUCAUUAACCUGAGGUCAGACACAAGUAGGCGCUCUUUAACAACAGGUACGGGCAUAUGAUUUCAAUGUCAGUCAAUGUGUAUUAUGAGGGUUUUUUCUUUCUUCUUUAAAGUGUCUUGGAUUGCAUCUGAGAGAGAAUUGCAGAUUUGUUAAAGUUCAUAUAAUAAAUUCAUUUCAGAAAAGCGUAUUGCAUCCUAACCAAUUCUGCCCAGAAUCAUUGCUUCGGCCCAGGUUUAUGAGGUGUUGGGUGAAUGUGGAAAUGCACCUUUAAAAAAACACGUACAUACUGCAUGCAAGCAGAAGCAACAUCAAAUGAAAAUCUCUGCAAUAAAUAUAUAUUUAUCUACAAUAUAGAGUCUAUAAAACAGAUCUCAUAUGAAGUUAUAAUAAAUAAAUAAUUUAUCAGAAAUAAAUAUAUGUUACUUUUGUACAGUAAUACAUGAAGAUGCAUGGCAUCAAUUUGGCUGAGUUCACCUAGAAACGAUAUAAUGUACUGUCCCGGUUUUUAUGUGUCAAAAAUGAUAUUGCUAGGAGGUGAUGCCACUGUGAGUAAUGGUGAACAUCUUAACAGUCUUUUUCUUGUCAAAAUAUAGAGGCAGUAAUAGUCCAUUUAUUUGCGUCAUCCUUUAUCCUUCUUCCAGGCUCAGGCUGUCCAUUUAGAGCAGAACAGUCACGUUAACCCGUCUGGAUUGUCCUGCUUUCAGCUGAAAACAAUUAACUCUUGGAAGACGUCACAAUAAAUCCGGGCUGUGAUUCCCGGACGACUGCCCCCUCACUCUCUGAUUUUGACCUUUGACCUCAAAUGUCCGGCUGCACCCAUACGCCGUUCUCCUCAACAGGAGCUUCACCACGGGAGGCAAACACGCAGCCUCUGUCGCUUCCUUGCUCUGUGUGUGUGUGUGUGUGUGUGUG